UCAAAAAAAAAAAAAAAUCCAGCCACGUAGAGAUUUGGGAAAAGAGUAUUUCCAAUAGAGUGAACAGAUUUCAAAUAUGCGUGCAUUAGAGAAUGAUUUUUUCAAUUCUCCCCCAAGAAAAACUGUUCGGUUUGGUGGAACUGUGACAGAAGUCUUGCUGAAGUACAAAAAGGGUGAAACAAAUGACUUUGAGUUGUUGAAGAACCAGCUGUUAGAUCCAGACAUAAAGGAUGACCAGAUCAUCAACUGGCUGCUAGAAUUCCGUUCUUCUGUCAUGUACUUGACAAAAGACUUUGAGCAACUUAUCAGUAUUAUAUUGAGAUUGCCUUGGUUGAAUAGAAGUCAAACAGUAGUGGAAGAGUAUUUGGCUUUUCUUGGUAAUCUUGUAUCAGCAUAGACUGUUUUCCUCAGACCGUGUCUCAGCAUGAUUGCUUCCCAUUUUGUGCCUCCCUGAGUGAUCAUUAAGGAAGGCGAUGUAGAUGUUUCAGAUUCUGAUGAUGAAGAUGAUAGAAUGUUACGUUCAUAACUUACUAAGGAUUAGUGUAUAUUUUCCAACCUUGAGGCAUGAAAUUCUGGAGCUUAUUAUUGAAAAACUACUCAAGCUGGAUGUGAAUGCAUCCCGGCAGGGUAUUGAAGAUGCUGAAGAAACAGCAAAUCAAACUUGUGGUGGGACAGAUUCCACGGAAGGAUUGUUUAAUAUGGGAUUCGCAGAGGCAUUUUUGGAACAUCUUUGGAAAAACUUGCAGGAUCCAAGUAAUCCUGCCAUCAUCAGGCAGGCUGCUGGAAAUUAUAUUGGAAGCUUUUUGGCAAGAGCUAAAUUUAUUUCUCUUAUUACUGUAAAACCAUGCCUAGAUCUUUUGGUUAACUGGCUGCACAUAUACCUUAAUAACCAGGAUUCGGGAACAAAGGCAUUCUGCGAUGUUGCUCUCCAUGGACCAUUUUACUCAGCCUGCCAAGCUGUGUUCUACACCUUUGUUUUUAGACACAAGCAGCUUUUGAGCGGAAACCUGAAAGAAGGUUUGCAGUAUCCUCAGAGUCUGAAUUUUGAGCGGAUAGUGAUGAGCCAGCUAAAUCCCCUGAAGAUUUGCCUGCCCUCAGUGGUUAACUUUUUUGCUGCAAUCACAAAGAUGAAGACUUGUGGAUAUGGAUGGUGGUGAUGGUUGCACAACAAUAUCAAUUUAUUUUAUACCACUGAACCGUGCACUUCAAAAUGGUUAAGAUGGUAAGUUUUAUGUUGUGUAUUUUACCAUAAUAAAAAAAAUUGUAGAGGGAAAAACAGUCUGCCUCCACUUUUGAUAUGGGACUGCUAACAUCUUCCACCCUCCCUCUCCCCCUCUGCCCCACAUCUGGGCAAGCUAAGAAAGCCUGCUGCUCUCUCCUCUGGCACCAGCUGGAAAUUCAUACCCAACAAGCCCUAGCCCUCCCACCAGACCCACAUUUCAUCCCCAUCCCCAUCGCAUCCCCAUCCCCAUCCCCAUCCCUAACCACCAUAAAUGCUAAGGGAGUUUCCUUGCCUGGUUUUCUGAAACCAUUUUUGGACCUGCUUGGGAAUCUGCCCUGCUCUCUCAGAAAGCUUCAUUAUAUGAGCAAUAAACCUUUUCCUACCCUC